UACGUAGGCAGCGAGCGUUGUUCGGAGUUACUGGGCGUAAAGCGUGCGUAGGCGGUUGUCUAAGUUUGGUGUGAAAUCUCCUGCUUAACUGGGAGGGUGCGCCGAAAACUGGGUGACUGGAGUGUCGGAGAGGUAAGCGGAAUUCCUGGUGUAGCGGUGAAAUGCGCAGAUAUCAGGAGGAACACCAAUUGCGAAGGCAGCUCGCUGGGACGUUACUGACGCUGAGACGCGAAAGCGUGGGGAGCAAACAGG
rnacentral:rRNA from 1 species